GAUGAACGCUGGCGGCGUGCCUAAUACAUGCAAGUCGAGCGAACAGACGAGGAGCUUGCGCCGCUGACGGUAGCGGCGGACGGGUGAGUAACAUGUGGAUAACCUACCUAUAAGACUGGGAUAACUUCGGGAAACCGGAGCUAGUACCGGAUGAUAUAUUGAACCGCAUGGUUCAAUAGUUAAAUACGGUUUUGCGUGCAGUUAUAGAUGAAUCCGCGUAGCAUUAGCUAGUGGGUAAGGUGACUGCUCACCCACGCUGCGAUGCGUAGCCGACCUGAGAGGGUGGAUGGCCACCCGGGAUCUGAGACUGGGCCGACACUCCUACGGGAAGCCGCGGUAGCGAAUCUUCCGCCAUGGGCGAGAGCCUGACGGUAGAACGCCGAGUGAGCGAUGAAGGUGUUAGGAUCGGUGAGUGCUGUUAUUAGGAGAGAACAAAUGUGUAAGCAGCUGUGCACGUAUUGACGGUACCUACACAGAAAGCCACGGCUAACUACGUG
rnacentral:rRNA from 1 species